rnacentral:tmRNA from 1 species
GGGGCUGACCGGUUUAGACAGCGGGCAGAAGUGGUUUGUAAGCAUGUAGUGCGUCGUUGGCUUGCACUUUAAUCUCAGGCAACGAACAAUUAACUGGCGAAAACAACUACGCUUACGCUGCAUAAGUCGAAUAAUAGUAGACCCAUUGCUUAAUCCCUGCAAAAGUUGCGGGGACGUAACGUCACCCGGAUGCUGUGGCUUCGAAGCGGUUCGAUAAGGUGGCGCAGAAAUAUCGGAGAUAGCCUGAAGUAGCCCCGGACUUCAGGUGAAACCAAGGGGAUAAGGAUUGGGUUGGUUGCUUCGGUCUUUCCCUCUCCCGACAAUGAAAGCGAAGAUAAACAUGUAGAAAGCAAAUUAGUUCCUCGUUUGGACGAGAGUUCGAAUCUCUCCAGCUCCACAC